rfam:Schistosoma haematobium scaffold1410_5, whole genome shotgun sequence.
AUCCAACUGAAGAGUCUCAAAUAAGACGAAACACGUGUCAUGAAU